rnacentral:rRNA from 1 species
CGGUGUUUAACUGGCGUGAUGUGGGACGUCCUACCGGUGGGCUUAGCCUCGCGAGGGGCGGCCCAACUAAUAUCCCGUCGCGGUGCUCUUUACUGAGUGUCGAGUCGGGCCGGUACGUUUACUUUGAGCAAAUUAGAGUGCUUAAAGCAGGCUAUCCUCGCCUGAAUACUGCGUGCAUGGAAUAAUGGAAUAGGACCUCGGUUCUAUUUUGUUGGUUUUCGGAACCCCGAGGUAAUGAUUAAUAGGGACAGAUGGGGGCAUUCGUAUUGCGACGUUAGAGGUGAAAUUCUUGGAUCGUCGCAAGACGGACAGAAGCGAAAGCAUUUGCCAAAAAUGUUUUCAUUAAUCAAGAACGAAAGUUAGAGGUUCGAAGGCGAUCAGAUACCGCCCUAGUUCUAACCAUAAACGAUGCCAGCUAGCGAUCCGCCGAAGUUCCUCCGAUGACUCGGCGGGCAGCUUCCGGGAAACCAAAGCUUUUGGGUUCCGGGGGAAGUAUGGUUGCAAAGCUGAAACUUAAAGGAAUUGACGGAAGGGCACCACCAGGAGUGGAGCCUGCGGCUUAAUUUGACUCAACACGGGAAACCUCACCAGGCCCAGACACCGGAAGGAUUGACAGAUUGAUAGCUCUUUCUUGAUUCGGUGGGUGGUGGUGCAUGGCCGUUCUUAGUUGGUGGAGCGAUUUGUCUGGUUAAUUCCGAUAACGAACGAGACUCUAGCCUGCUAAAUAGGCGUACCUUAUGGUAUCGCGAAGGCCCCCGGCUUCGGCCGGUGGGUUUUUACUACCAACGUACAAACAAAUCUUCUUAGAGGGACAGGCGG